rnacentral:rRNA from 1 species
AGAGUUUGAUCCUGGCUCAGGAUGAACGCUAGCGACAGGCUUAACACAUGCAAGUCGAGGGGCAGCACAGGUAGCAAUACCGGGUGGCGACCGGCGCACGGGUGAGUAACGCGUAUGCAACUUACCUAUCAGAGGGGGAUAACCCGGCGAAAGUCGGACUAAUACCGCAUGAAGCAGGGGUCCCGCAUGGGGAUAUUUGCUAAAGAUUCAUCGCUGAUAGAUAGGCAUGCGUUCCAUUAGGCAGUUGGCGGGGUAACGGCCCACCAAACCGACGAUGGAUAGGGGUUCUGAGAGGAAGGUCCCCCACAUUGGUACUGAGACACGGACCAAACUCCUACGGGAGGCAGCAGUGAGGAAUAUUGGUCAAUGGGCGUAAGCCUGAACCAGCCAAGUCGCGUGAGGGAUGAAGGUUCUAUGGAUCGUAAACCUCUUUUAUAAGGGAAUAAAGUGCGGGACGUGUCCCGUUUUGUAUGUACCUUAUGAAUAAGGAUCGGCUAACUCCGUGCCAGCAGCCGCGGUAAUACGGAGGAUUCGAGCGUUAUCCCGAUUUAUUGGGUUUAAAGGGUGCGUAGGCCGCCUUUUAAGACAGCGGUGAAAGUCUGUGGCUCAACCAUAGAAAUGGCCGUUGAAAACUGGGGGGGCUUGAGUAUGUUUGAGGCAAGGGGAAUUGCGUGGUGUAGCGGUGAAAAUGCUUAGAUAUCACGCAGAACCCUGAUUGGGAGGGCACCGGGCCAAGCCAUGAAUUGACGCUGGCGCACGAAAGCGUGGGGAUCAAACAGGUUUAGAUACCCUGGUAGUCCCCGCAGUAAACGAUGAUCACUAGCUGUUUGCGAUACAGUGUAAGCGGCACAGCGAAAGCGUUAAGUGAUCCACCUGGGGAGUACGCCGGCAACGGGUGAAACUCAAAGGAAUUGACGGGGGCCCGCACAAGCGGAGGAACAUGUGGUUUAAUUGGAUGAUACGCGAGGAACCUUACCCGGGUUUGAACGCAUUCGGACCGAGGUGGAAACACCUUUUCUAGCAAUAGCCGUUUGCGAGGUGCUGCAUGGUUGUCGUCAGCUCGUGCCGUGAGGUGUCGGCUUAAGUGCCAUAACGAGCGCAACCCUUGCCACUAGUUACUAACAGGUGAUGCUGAGGACUCUGGUGGGACUGCCAGCGUAAGCUGCGAGGAAGGCGGGGAUGACGUCAAAUCAGCACGGCCCUUACAUCCGGGGCGACACACGUGUUACAAUGGCGUGGACAAAGGGAAGCCACCUGGCGACAGGGAGCGAAUCCCCAAACCACGUCUCAGUUCGGAUCGGAGUCUGCAACCCGACUCCGUGAAGCUGGAUUCGCUAGUAAUCGCGCAUCAGCCAUGGCGC